rnacentral:lncRNA from 1 species
GGAGAGAGAGCGCUAGGCUUCUAUAAUAUCUAUAGUAACGGAGCUCUGUAACUAUAGUCUCAUUUUCAAUCCUAGAAUGUUCAAAUCAACGAUCCAUAUUGUUGAAAUUGAUCUAAGAUAUUUAAAGUUUUUAAGAAUAAAAUUGUAUUUUUUUUAACAUAUCUUACUUUAUGAUCAAAUCAAUUCAAAAUUGUCAAUUUUUAAUGACUAGUAUGGUAAAUUUUGUAGUUUAAUGGUUUUGAAGAAUCUAAAUUUAUUCAAAUUUUGAUUCAAAAUACUUUAAACUAUCUAGGUCAAGACCAACAUUCUUGAUUUUGAAUUCAAAAGUUCUAUCCUUAAAUUACAAAGAUUGUUUAAUUUUUAUCGUUUAUUUUGACAUGAUUUAUUUACUAAGUAAAUGAUGUCUAAAAAAUUAAAUUUUUAUUUCUAAAAAUUUUAUAUACCCUAAAUCAUAUUUUACGGUGCUGAUAAUUGAUUUCAACACUCUAAGAUCGAAACGAGACUAUAGUACUAGAGCUCCAGUACUAUAGAUGGUAUAAUAGUCUCAUUCUAUAUAUAUA